ACGAACGCUGGCGGCGUGCUUAACACAUGCAAGUCGAACGAGAUCCAACUGGUGGCAACACCAGGGAAGAUCUAGUGGCGAACGGGUGCGUAACACGUGAGAAACCCACCCCGAACUUCGGGAUAACAAGUGGAAACACUUGCUAAUACCGGAUGCCUUCUUCGAGUCGCAUGGCUCGACGAAGAAAGGUCCGCCGGUUCGGGACGGUCUCGCGGCCUAUCAGCUUGUUGGUGGGGUAAUGGCCUACCAAGGCAUCGACGGGUAGCUGGUCUGAGAGGAUGAUCCGCCACACUGGGACUGAGACACGGCCCAGACUCCUACGGGAGGCAGCAGUGGGGAAUCUUGCCCAAUGGGCGCAAGCCUGAGGCAGCAACGCCGCGUGCGGGAAGAAGGCCUUCGGGUUGUAAACCGCUUUCAGCAGGAAUGAAAAUGACGGUACCUGCAGAAGAAGGUGCGGCCACCUACGU
rnacentral:rRNA from 1 species